rnacentral:tRNA from 1 species
GUGGAUGUUACUCAGUUGGUAGACUGCUUGUCUAAAACGCAUGAAGUCCUGGGUUCCAACCCCAGCACCACA